AUGGGCGAGCUCGCAGAGGAUCUCUUCCUCCGCCUUUCGCCGGAGCUCGUCGAGGAGGUAUUUUUCCGCCUUCCGCCGGACGAGCCCGCCUGCCUCGUACACGCCUCCGCCGUCUGCAAGCCCUGGCGCCGCAUCCUCGCCGAUCUGGGCUUUCGCCGCCGCUAUUACAAGUUCCACGGAACACCUCCCGUCCUGGGGCUCUUCCAACAGGGCGACUGGCUCUUCCGGGAGGGAGCCCGCUUCGUUCGCACCUCCGCCCUCUUCCCUGCCCAGCGCGACCGGCCCUGCUGGUUUGCCAUGGACUGCCGCCACGGGCGCGCCCUCUUGGCCAGCUUGGGCACCACCUGUCACCUCAUGGUCUUGGACUCUGUGACGGGACACCAGCGCCUCGUGGUCUCGCCCUGUAACCGCCCGGUCAGCUUCAGUGCGGCGGUGCUCUGCGCCGCACAAGGCUGCGACCACCAUGGUUGCCAAGGAGGGCAUUUCCGUCUGGCCGUCGUCACCACCUAUCAGCAGCAUAGGGUCACAUCGGGCUGGCUGUACUCGUCGGAGACUCGCCUGUGGAGCGAGCUCACCUCUGUUCAUCACCCCAAUGUCAGGUGUCCCUAUAACUUGGGUGCGCCUAGCGUCCUUGUGGGCGAUGCACUCUACUUCAACGUUGGUGGCAUCGUGGAGUGUCAACUUGGUGCACUCAGGUUGUCAAUGUUGGAGAAGCCGGUCGACGGCAAUGGGCGCUUGUCAAUGUCUCAUAACCCGAUUGAUGGCAUUGGGACUCUCAUGGUGAAGGAAGACGGGCGACUGGGGUUUGCUGCCGUGGUGGAUGUCACGAAUCUAACCCUAUGGUUGUGCGAGACCGGACCUGUGGGAGCUAUUGGAUGGGCAAAACUCAGGGUAAUUGAUCUUAAGACGCUGCUCCCAACAUGUGAAUUCAGCACUAGCAUUAGGAGGUCGGUCGGUACAUGCAUUGGCGAUCACCGGCGUCGCGGAGGGCACACAAAUCAUUUUUGUGAGAGCACAUGUUGGUUCCUAUAUGGUUGA
rnacentral:rRNA from 1 species